GACAGAGGGUGCAAACGUUGCUCGGAAUUACUGGGCGUAAAGCGCGUGUAGGUGGCUUGUUAAGUCGGGUGUGAAAUCCCUCGGCUCAACCGAGGAAGUGCAUUCGAUACUGGCAAGCUCGAGUACCGGAGAGGGUCGUGGAAUUCCUGGUGUAGAGGUGAAAUGCGCAGAUAUCAGGAGGAACACCGGUGGCGAAGGCGGUUCUCUGGGCAUUACCUGACGCUGAGGAGCGAAAGUGUGGGGAGCGAACAGG
rnacentral:rRNA from 1 species